rnacentral:sRNA from 1 species
AGAAGGGACUCAUCUCUGUGUCCUUUUCUACUUGUCAGACUGUAGUACAACAGACCAUUUAGUUUUCAUUUUGCUCUUUGUUCUAGAUUGAUUCUUAAUCAUGUCUGCACUGUCAGAUUUUCAAAGAAAGAAAAUCUUAAAUCUUUUUGAGAAUCUGUACGAUUUAAACAAAGACGGUGUCAUAGAAAAAUGUGAUUUUGAUAACGCCGUUGAG